ACGUGGGAACGUGCCCUUUGGUUCGGAACAACUCAGGGAAACUUGAGCUAAUACCGGAUGUGCCCUUCGGGGGAAAGAUUUAUCGCCAUUGGAGCGGCCCGCGUAGGAUUAGCUAGUUGGUGGGGUAAUGGCCCACCAAGGCUCCGAUCCUUAGCUGGUCUGAGAGGAUGAUCAGCCACACUGGGACUGAGACACGGCCCAGACUCCUACGGGAGGCAGCAGUGGGGAAUCUUGCGCAAUGGGCGAAAGCCUGACGCAGCCAUGCCGCGUGAAUGAUGAAGGUCUUAGGAUUGUAAAAUUCUUUCACCGGGGACGAUAAUGACGGUACCCGGAGAAGAAGCCCCGGCUAACUUCGUGCCAGCAGCCGCGGUAAUACGAAGGGGGCUAG
rnacentral:rRNA from 1 species